rnacentral:misc_RNA from 1 species
GUGAAUCAUCGAAUCUUUGAACGCACAUUGCGCCCGCCAGCAUUCUGGCGGGCAUGCCUGUUCGAGCGUCAUUUCAACCCUCGACCUCCCCCCGGGGAGGUCGGCGUUGGGGACCGGCAGCACACCGCCGGCCCUGAAAUGGAGUGGCGGCCCGUCCGCGGCGACCUCUGCGUAGUAGUCCAACCUCGCACCGGAACCCCGACGCGGCCACGCCGUAAAACGCCCAACUCUGAACGUUGACCUCGGAUCAGGUAGGAGUACCCGCUGAACUUAAGCAUAUCAAUAAGCGGAGGA